AUACAGAGGGUGCGAGCGUUAAUCGGAAUUACUGGGCGUAAAGGGCGCGUAGGCGGUUUAAUAAGUCGGGUGUGAAAGCCCCAAGCUCAACUUGGGAAUUGCAUUCGAUACUGUUGAACUGGAGUGUGGUAGAGGGAAGCGGAAUUCCGGGUGUAGCGGUGAAAUGCGUAGAUAUCUGGAGGAACAUCAGUGGCGAAGGCGGCUACCUGGACCAACACUGACGCUGAGGUGCGAAAGCGUGGGGAGCAAACAGGAUUAGAAACCCCGGUAGUCC
rnacentral:rRNA from 1 species